GAUGAACGCUGGCGGCGUGCCUAAUACAUGCAAGUCGAGCGAACGGACGAGAAGCUUGCUUCUCUGAUGUUAGCGGCGGACGGGUGAGUAACACGUGGAUAACCUACCUAUAAGACUGGGAUAACUUCGGGAAACCGUAGCUAAUACCGGAUAAUAUUUUGAACCGCAUGGUUCAAAAGUGAAAGACGGUCUUGCUGUCACUUAUAGAUGGAUCCGCGCUGCAUUAGCUAGUUGGUAAGGUAACGGCUUACCAAGGCAACGAUGCAUAGCCGACCUGAGAGGGUGAUCGGCCACACUGGAACUGAGACACGGUCCAGACGCCUACGGGAGGCAGCAGUAGGGAAUCUGCCGCAAUGGGCGAAAGCCUGACGGAGCAACGCCGCGUGAGUGAUGAAGGUCUUCGGAUCGUAAAACUCUGUUAUUAGGGAAGAACAUAUGUGUAAGUAACUGUGCACAUCUUGACGGUACCUAAUCAGAAAGCCACGGCUAACUACGUG
rnacentral:rRNA from 1 species